CCUACGGGGGGCAGCAGUGGGGGAUAUUGGACAAUGGGGGGAACCCUGAUGCAGCGACGCCGCGUGAGUGAAGACGUAUUUCGGUAUGUCAAGCUCUAUCCGCCGGGAAGAAAGAAAUGACGGUCCCUGGAUAAGACGCCCCGGCUAACAACGUGCCAGCAGCCGCGGUAAUACGGAGGGGGGAAGCGUUAUCCGGCUUUACUGGGUGUAAAGGGAGCGUGGACGGCGAUGCAAGGCUGAAGGUAAAGGCUGGGGCUUAAGCCCGGAACUGCUUUGGAAACUGUGCGUCUUGAGUGCAGGAGGGGUAAGCGGAAUUCCUAGUGUAGCGGUGAAAUGCGUAGAUAUUAGGAGGAACACCGGUGGCGAAGGCGGCUUACUGGACUUUAACUGACGUUGAGGCUCGAAAGCGUGGGGAGCAAACAGGAUUAGAUACCCCUGUAGUC
rnacentral:rRNA from 1 species